UACAGAGGGUGCAAGCGUUGUUCGGAAUUAUUGGGCGUAAAGCGCGUGUAGGCGGCAUGGCAAGUCGGGUGUGAAAGCCCUCAGCUUAACUGAGGAAGUGCGCCCGAAACUGCCGUGCUUGAGUGCCGGAGAGGGUGGCGGAAUUCCCCAAGUAGAGGUGAAAUUCGUAGAUAUCGGGAGGAACACCAGUGGCGAAGGCGGCGACCUGGGCCAAUAUUGACGCUGAGGUGCGAAAGCGUGGGGAGCAAACAGG
rnacentral:rRNA from 1 species